GGGAUUGCCUCAGUAACGGCGAGUGAAGCGGCAACAGCUCAAAUUUGAAAUCUGGCCCCAUCGGGGUCCGAGUUGUAAUUUGUAGAGAGUGUUUCGGGCGAGACCACGGUCUAAGUCUGUUGGAACAUUACGUCAUAGAGGGUGAGAACCCCGUAUGCGACCGUGGCUCGAGCCUAUGUGAAGCCUCUUCGACGAGUCGAGUUGUUUGGGAAUGCAGCUCAAAAUGGGUGGUAAAUUUCAUCUAAAGCUAAAUACUGGCUGGAGACCGAUAGCGCACAAGUAGAGUGAUCGAAAGAUGAAAAGCACUUUGGAAAGAGAGUCAAACAGUACGUGAAAUUGUUGAAAGGGAAGCGCUGGCAACCAGACCUGUCCGUAGGCGAUCAACCGCUGUUCUCAGCGGUGCACUCGUUCUGCGAUCAGGCCAGCAUCGGUUUCGGCGGUCGGAUAAAGGCCCGGGGAACGUAGCUCCCUCUCGGGGGAGUGUUAUAGCCCCGGGCGCAAUGCGGCCAGCCGGGACCGAGGACCGCGCUUCGGCUAGGAUGCUGGCGUAAUGGUUGUCAGCGACCCGUCUUGAAACACGGACCAAGGAGUCUAACAUCUAUGCGAGUGUUUGGGUGUCAAACCCAUGCGCGGAAUGAAAGUGAACGGAGGUGAGAACCCUCUCGGGGGCGCAUCAUCGACCGAUCCAGAUGUCUUCGGAUGGAUUUGAGUAUGAGCAUAGCUGUUGGGACCCGAAAGAUGGUGAACUAUGCCUGAAUAGGGUGAAGCCAGAGGAAACUCUGGUGGAGGCUCGCAGCGGUUCUGACGUGCAAAUCGAUCGUCAAAUUUGGGUAUAGGGGCGAAAGACUAUCGACCUUC
rnacentral:rRNA from 1 species